UAAUGGCCCACCAAGGCUUCGACGGGUAGCCGGCCUGAGAGGGUGACCGGCCACACUGGGACUGAGACACGGCCCAGACUCCUACGGGAGGCAGCAGUGGGGAAUAUUGGACAAUGGGCGAAAGCCUGAUCCAGCAACGCCGCGUGAGGGAUGACGGCCUUCGGGUUGUAAACCUCUUUCAGUACCGACGAAGCGCUCCUAGGAGUGGUGACGGUAGGUACAGAAGAAGGACCGGCCAACUACGUGCCAGCAGCCGCGGUAAUACGUAGGGUCCGAGCGUUGUCCGGAAUUAUUGGGCGUAAAGGGCUCGUAGGCGGUCUGUUGCGUCGGGAGUGAAAUCUUACAGCUUAACUGUGAACUUGCUUUCGAUACGGGCAGACUUGAGGCAUUCAGGGGAGAACGGAAUUCCUGGUGUAGCGGUGGAAUGCGCAGAUAUCAGGAGGAACACCGGUGGCGAAGGCGGUUCUCUGGGAAUGUCCUGACGCUGAGGAGCGAAAGUGUGGGGAGCGAACAGGAUUAGAUACCCUGGUAGUCCACACCGUAAACGUUGGGCGCUAGGUGUGGGGCCUAUUCCAUGGGUUCCGUGCCGCAGCUAACGCAUUAAGCG
rnacentral:rRNA from 1 species